GCGGUCAUCGUAUAAUGGCUAUUGCAUCAGCCUUCCUGGCUGAUUAUGCGGGGCAAUUCCCGCUGACCGCUCCA
rnacentral:tRNA from 1 species